UUUUUCCACACCCAUAUGGCCAAAUAAUGUCAACAAAAAAAAAUAACAACUAGCAUACAACCAUUAAUUUCCAUUAAAUAUAUACAUAGCAUUGAGAACAUGGAUCUGCAUGCAUCAUCAUGUUAAAUGCAUGGCAUCAGCUCACCUGUUUUUGAUAGUUGUAUGCUUUACUGGUAUCUUGCAGAACCAAAAGGAUGAAUGAACUUAUGUGGACUUGAUCUGCAAGAAACAUGCAGUGAGCAAACAUAAACUGCUGCCAGCAAAACUAAUUUGCAUUUAAGUACAUGAUUGGGCAUCUCCCAUCUAAUCUACAUGUAAGCAUGUGAUUGGAUGAGUACUAACCUCCCACAUGACCAAUAUUUUGACUGAUAGUGCAAAACGGCAGUCAACAGACCCGUGGGAAAAUGAGCACAGAAAUCAAGAUGACAAACACAUGUACUCUGGGAGCAGAUGUUUAUCCUGCUGUGUGGAACUUUUGUCUCCCCUUCAGGCAGUGAGAGCAGUUAACGUUGUCGACGUGUGCUUAUGACGUUCAGAAAUACAGAAACUUUUCCACAGUUCCAAGACAAUAAUCCAGUAUUUUGGUAGAAAUUCGGAGGUCGGAGCUGGGAAUGACGUUCCAGUUAACAGGUCGGAAAAUCUCACUCGACCAGCUGUUGUUUCCAACUAGCCAGCCAUCUUGGACCACAAAGUUGGGGUAGUGCAGUUUCCCGCGAUGGCAGUUUGUGGAGCUCUCGCCCUGACUGAGUUGCUCCCCCCUUCAGCUCUGGUAAACCAAUCACCACUGGUUGAUUGUCACCACUGUCAUCAUAGACACCAGGGGCGAGUUCAGCCCUCACAAAAGGUAGCAAGUAGUUUUUUUUUUUGUUUUUUUGUUUUUUUUAUUUCAACAGAAACAUUGGUGCCUCAACUACCCUGUAGUGUAGUAAGUGCACUGCAUUUUCCUGCCCCUUUUAUCACCGUUGUUUACAAACUUGUCACAGCUGAUUGGGUUACACCUGUGACACACACAACCAAACGGUAGAAAACAUACCUCGAAGCCCGUUGUGGAACGUUGCAAGGAAACGUGGUGUUCAAUCCGAAAACAUUGCAAACUAGUGCAAAACGUUUUGAGAUUUACCUCGCCCCAGAUUUAAGACCUCUGGUAUACUGCAAAUAGACUUACCUGGCAGUGAUAGGCUUAAUCAGCUGUGUGUGUGUACUAGCUUGAAUGUAAAACACAUUUAUUUAUCUGUAAAGGUCCCGUACUCCAACUUUAAUAUUACAACACAUUAAAGCAGUUGACAAGUGCCUGCUGAAAUACAGGUAAAAGGAUGAAGCCAGAUGCGCUAAACUCAAAAAACUAAGGUUGUAAGCUGAAAGAACAUUCUGUGAUCUCAAAAAUAAGUGUGCUCUGUCUUCACUAAAAACAUGAAUGUUUAACAGCAGAAACAGCUGAAUCUAAAAAGCUUACUUGUUAAAAUACUUUUUGUCAACCCACAAAUUAUAGACAUGGUGCAGUUAAUCUAAACCAUGUGGUUAAGGACUAAUUAAUUAUGUUGAUUUCC